AAUAUGCAAAAAUGUUGAUCUCCAUGCUAUUCACUCUAAAGCCUAGCCUAGAAAUCAUUACUCUUCUUCUGAAACUCGUAUUUGUGGAAUUGUGAGUCAUU